rnacentral:rRNA from 1 species
GAGGGCAAGUCUGGUGCCAGCAGCCGCGGUAAUUCCAGCUCCAAUAGCGUAUAUUAAAAUUGUUGCAGUUAAAAAGCUCGUAGUUGAAUUUCAGCUGCUCCGCACUUUCUUCCCGUUAUGGAGGUUGUGCGCCGUGGCUUAUUUCGGACUGUGUUAUGCACUGUCCGGAUGUUUACUUUGAGAAAAUUAGAGUGCUCAAAGCAGGCUUUUGGCUUGAAUAGUUUAGCAUGGAAUAAUAAAGUAGGACUUUGGUUCUAUUUUGUUGGUUUUAGGUACCAAAGUAAUGGUUAAUAGGAGCAGUUGGGGGUACUCGUAUUUAACUGUCAGAGGUGAAAUUCUUAGAUUUGUUAAAGACGAACUACUGCGAAAGCAUUUGCCAAGGAUGUUUUCAUUAAUCAAGAACGAAAGUUAGGGGAUCGAAGACGAUCAGAUACCGUCGUAGUCCUAACCAUAAACUAUGCCGACUAGAGAUUGGAGGUCGUCAGUUUUUACGACUCCUUCAGCACCUUGAGAG